rnacentral:rRNA from 1 species
AGUGAACGCUGGCGGUAGGCCUAACACAUGCAAGUCGAACGGCAGCACAGUAAGAGCUUGCUCUUACGGGUGGCGAGUGGCGGACGGGUGAGGAAUACAUCGGAAUCUACUUUUUCGUGGGGGAUAACGUAGGGAAACUUACGCUAAUACCGCAUACGACCUACGGGUGAAAGCAGGGGAUCUUCGGACCUUGCGCGAUUGAAUGAGCCGAUGUCGGAUUAGCUAGUUGGCGGGGUAAAGGCCCACCAAGGCGACGAUCCGUAGCUGGUGUGAGAGGAUGAUCAGCCACACUGGAACUGAGACACGGUCCAGACUCCUACGGGAGGCAGCAGUGGGGAAUAUUGGACAAAGGGCGCAAGCCUGAUCCAGCCAUACCGCGUGGGUGAAGAAGGCCUUCGGGUUGUAAAGCCCUUUUGUUGGGAAAGAAAAGCAGCAGGUUAAUACCCCGCUGUUCUGACGGUACCCAAAGAAUAAGCACCGGCUAACUUCGUG